rnacentral:rRNA from 1 species
AAAUGAAUUGACGGGGGCCCGCACAAGCAGCGGAGCAUGUUGCUUAAUUCGAGGCAACGCGAAGAACCUUACCUGUGGCUUGACAUGGUGGGAAAAGCCGUGGAGACACGGUGUCCUUCGGGGCCCAUCACAGGUGGUGCAUGGCUGUCGUCAGCUCGUGUCGUGAGAUGUUGGGUUAAGUCCCGCAACGAGCGCAACCCUUGUCCUAUGUUGCCAGCGGGUAAUGCCGGGGACUCGUAGGAGACUGCCGGGGUCAACUCGGAGGAAGGUGGGGACGACGUCAAGUCAUCAUGCCCCUUACGUCCAGGGCUGCAAACAUGCUACAAUGGCCGGUACAAAGGGCCGCGAGCCCGCGAGGGUAAGCCAAUCCCAUAAAGCCGGUCUCAGUUCGGAUUGGAGUCUGCAACUCGACUCCAUGAAGCCGGAGUUGCUAGUAAUCCCGGAUCAGCAUUGCCGGGGUGAAUACGUUCCCGGGCCUUGUACACACCGCCCGU